GGAGUUUGGGCCGUGUCUCAGUCCCAAUGUGGCCGGUCGCCCUCUCAGGCCGGCUACCGAUCGUCGCCUUGGUGGGCCGUUGCCCCGCCAACUAGCUAAUGGUACGCGAGCCAAUCCGAUAGCAAUAAAUCUAUUAAACAAGGAUCAUGCGGUCCCUGUUGUUACGGAGUAUUACGCGACGUUUCCAUCGACUAUCCUCCACUACCGGGUAUGUUGCUCACGCGUUACUCACCCGUGCGCCGGUCGCCAUCGGCCUUAGCAAGCUAAGACCAUGCUGCCCCUCGACUUGCAUGUGUUAAGCCUGUAGCUAGCGUUCAUCCUGAGCAUGAUCAAACUCU
rnacentral:rRNA from 1 species